AAUCAACGCUGGCGGCGUGCCUAACACAUGCAAGUCGAACGCGAGGACCUCGCAAGAGGUUAGUAGAGUGGCAAACGGGUGAGUAACACGUGGGUGACCUGCCUUAGAGUGGGGAUAACGUCCCGAAGGGACGCUAAUACCGCAUAACAUCCUGCCUUUGAAGAGGUGGAGAUCAAAGCUGGGGACCGCAAGGCCUAGCGCUUAAAGAGGGGCCCGCGUCUGAUUAGCAGUUGGUGGGGUAAGUGGCUCACCAAGGCAACGAUCAGUAUCCGGCCUGAGAGGGCGGACGGACACACUGGGACUGAGACACGGCCCAGACUCCUACGGGAGGCAGCAGUGGGGAAUUGUUCGCAAUGGGCGCAAGCCUGACGACGCAACGCCGCGUGGAGGAUGAAGA
rnacentral:rRNA from 1 species